rnacentral:misc_RNA from 1 species
GGCAAAUCACUAGCACAAACUGUGACAAGAAAAUGUCUUCAAAAUUGAUCGUUUUGUUAGUUGUUUUCUCCCUCCAAUGCCUCUUGGCAUUGGCCUCUGACCCAGAUCCAGUUCAAGACUUUUGCAUACCCAACCCCAAGUAUGGUGCCAUAAGACCUGCUAGGUUCACUAUCCUCCCAUGCAAAAAUUCAUCUGAAGCAACCACCGAUGACUUUGUCUUCUCCGGCAUGAAAUCUGCUGGUAACUUCUCAGAGACAGGCCUUGCAACCAUUCCUGUGAACCCAGCAAAUUUUCCUGGCCUUAACACGCUAGGCAUGUCAUUUGUCAGAGCUGACCUUAAGGCUGGUGCUAUUAAUCCACCACAUUUUCAUCCCAGGGCAACCGAGAUCACUCAUGUGGUGCAAGGAAGUGUUUAUUCAGGCUUUGUUGAUUCUAGCAAUAGGGUUUUUGCCAGAGUUCUUGAGCAAGGAGAUGUCAUGAUUUUCCCCAGAGGUUUAGCGCACUUCCAAAUGAAUGUUGGUGAUAAGCCUUCAACAGUUUUUGGAAGUUUCAAUGGCCAAAACCCAGGAAGCCAAAAGAUCCCAACUGCCAUUUUCGGUUCUGGGAUUGAUGAUGAGCUCUUGGAAAAGGCUUUCGGAUUGAGUCCUAAGCAAAUUGGAAUGCUGAAAAGAAGGUUUGAUCCCAAAAGGGUAAGUUGAGGCAUGAAACAUGCAUAAGGUUUUCUCGGUCAGCUUGCAACAUUAUGAGAUCUUGUUCGUUUGUUUGUCCUAUAUAUGAAAUCAUGGCUUUUUU